rnacentral:rRNA from 1 species
GACGUAGGAGGCGAGCGUUGUCCGGAAUCAUUGGGCGUAAAGAGCGCGCAGGCGGCUUGGCAAGUCGGGUGUGAAAUCCCGGGGCUCAACCCCGUGACUGCAUUCGAUACUGUCAGGCUAGAGGUAGGUAGGGGAGAUCGGAAUUCCUGGUGUAGCGGUGAAAUGCGCAGAUAUCAGGAGGAACACCGGUGGCGAAGGCGGAUCUCUGGGCCUUACCUGACGCUCAGGCGCGAAAGCUAGGGGAGCGAACAGG